CAGUCGCCGCGGUAAUACGUAGGUCCCGAGCGUUGUCCGGAUUUAUUGGGCGUAAAGCGAGCGCAGGCGGUUAGAUAAGUCUGAAGUUAAAGGCUGUGGCUUAACCAUAGUACGCUUUGGAAACUGUUUAACUUGAGUGCAGAAGGGGAGAGUGGAAUUCCAUGUGUAGCGGUGAAAUGCGUAGAUAUAUGGAGGAACACCGGUGGCGAAAGCGGCUCUCUGGUCUGUAACUGACGCUGAGGCUCGAAAGCGUGGGGAGCGAACAGGAUUAGAUACCCCAGUAGUCCCUGUGUCUUAUACA
rnacentral:rRNA from 1 species